rfam:Gossypium raimondii Chr05_contig_159, whole genome shotgun sequence.
UAUUAUAUAUUUCAUCCAUUUCUACGGUUAAAAACUAGCGUGGCUGAUAUAAUAACCAAAAAAUUGCACGUAGCGUACCAUAUACCUCAUUCUGACAUACAAGGACUGAUUUUUAACAGUAGCAAUGGAUGAAAUUUUACUC